CAGAGGCUGUUCGAAGGAGAAGAGAGAGAGAGAGUUUUCUUUCAAGAAAAAUUUGAAGGAGAGAGUUGAAAUGAUGUCCAAUGAUCGAGAAUCUUGUCGAGAUGCUGUCCAAAUUUCUGAGGGAAUUGAUCCUUGCCGAGUGUUGCCAAGGUUAGAUCCGCAAACUUGUUUCUCAUCUUGAGUACUAUGUUCAAGGAAAAGAAAAAUCUGGUUUCAAUCAAAGCAAGGGAGGUUAUGGUGCGAGAAGAGGAAGAAGGAAGGCUAGUUCUUCCAACUGAUACCAGAUCAAGACGUAGUACUAAGGAGAAGUGUUGCAUGUUCAAGAUGGCCGAGGUUCAGUAUCCGGAAGCGUUGCAUGUCCGCAAGCAAAUAAUCUCUAGCCAAAAUCUGAAACCUUAGCGAGAACCAUUAAAGGGAGUUCGGGACUUAGGAAGGCCGGUGUAGAGUUGUUGCUUUCGUAAAACUAUCAUGGGUCCAAUCUUGAUUUUGUUUUAGAAACGAUUUGUAUUCGAAGUUUAUUUGAAUUAAACGUGUGUUUUCUCUUAAGUGUGUUGUCUCAUUUGACAUUUGGCAUUGUCUGGGCCAACACAACGUUCUAGGCCACGAGGGUUGAAAAGCCUAAGUUGUAUCAGAAUGGGGAAAUUGUGCUAGGGAAGACUGGUUGGGAAGCGACGGCUUCUAUCCCUCGAUCGGACCACCUUGGUGCAGUUUCCAUAGUGGUGUUCCGUGGCUGUCUGUUGGCUACUCCGGCCAUAGGACGGUUCGGAGGCGUUAAAGCGGGGGUGAGUCAACUCCUUUGGGCCAAUAUACAACAAUCUUUCCCAUUUACAUCUGGUAGCUUACCUGUCCGCUAUCUUGGUCUCCCUCUAUUAACAAAGAAAAUGACAACCAAUGACUAUGCUCCUUUGCUUGAUCGAAUUCGUGACCGUAUCAGAAGUUGGAACGCACGGAAUCUCUCCUUUGCUGGCCGUCUACAACUUAUUUCUUCAGUAAUUCAUAGUCUCACCAACUUCUGGAUGUCCGCUUUUCGUCUGUCUAUCGCUUGCAUUAAAGAGACAGAUGCUCUCUGUUCUGCAUUUCUUUGUUCUAGUCCUAGCCUAAAUACUAAGAAAGCUAAGGUGAAGUGGUCUGAUGUCUGCUUUCCUAAGGAGGAAGGAGGUCUGUGACUUAGGUCUUUAAAGGAGGCAAACAACGUUAGUUGUUUAAAGCUUAUUUGGUGAUUGUUGUCGUCAAAUUAUUUGUGGGUGCAAUGGCUACGAGUAUACUUGUUGAAGAAGGGGUCUUUUUGGUCCGUUAUAGAGAAUACUAAUCUUGGUUCUUGGACGUGGAAAAAACUUCUUAAGUAUCGGAGGAUAGCUUCAGCUUUUAUCAAAUAUGAAGUUUGCAAUGGACUGAGUGUUUCAUUCUGGCAUGAUAACUGGUCGGACCUGGGGUGUUUGAUUGAUAUCAUAUGCCCGAGAGGAUGCAUUGACAUGGGUAUUGGUCUUCAUGUGAGUGUAGCCGAUGCUGUGCUCUGCCAUCGGCGACGGCCGCACCGCACAUCUCUCUUAAACUCAGGUGGAGAAUUGAUGUAGCGGAAUAGAACACCUUGACGGGCCUUUCCUGGUGUUGCGUACCCAUCAAGCAAGAGUCGGUUUUGGUUUUGAUUUGUCGUUAUCUUCUUUCGUUAUGAUAAGUUUUGUUUCAUUCGUUUUUAUCUUCUAUUCCUAGGAUAAGUUUCAUGAGUCUUUACACAACUAUAUAAAUGGAGAUAUUGAUCACCUAUGUAUUCCACCUUUGAUUUUGAAUAAGAAAAACCCAAAAAAAAAGAGGCAAUUUAAAUUGCCCACCAA